ACUCCUACGGGAGGCAGCAGUGGGGAAUAUUGGACAAUGGGGGCAACCCUGAUCCAGCAAUACCGCGUGUGUGAAGAAGGCCUUCGGGUUGUAAAGCACUUUCAGUUGGGAGGAAGGCUGAUUAUCGAAUAGGUAGUCAGAUUGACGUUACCAACAGAAGAAGCACCGGCUAACUCUGUGCCAGCAGCCGCGGUAAUACAGAGGGUGCAAGCGUUAAUCGGAAUUACUGGGCGUAAAGGGCGCGUAGGUUGUUUGUUAAGUUAGAUGUGAAAUAUCCGGGCUCAACCUGGACAUGAUCGAUCUAAAACUGGCAGACUAGGAGUGC
rnacentral:rRNA from 1 species